CUGGCAGCAGACUGGCUUCAGACUUCAGCUGCAACAUCAGCUCUUCCUUGGAUUUCCAGCCUACCUAACUACUCUGCAGAUUUUGAACUUGCCAGCCUCCACAAUCAUUCUUGCUAUGUCACCCAGGCUGGAGUGCAGUUGCGCCAUCUCGGAUCACCACAACCUCCACCUCCUGUGUUCAAGUGAUCUGCCUCAGCCUCCCAAGUAGCUGAGAUGACAGACUUCCCACUGGGUUCCAGCCGGCACACCCAACCUCUUCAGGACCUGAAAAUCGUCCUUGCAUGGGAAGACAAACUAAAGCCCACAUCACUGAAGGAUUUGUCAUGAUGAAAAAGAAAAUGAAUAAAAACAGAAUAUAUUUUAUAUUAGUAAUACCACAUACAUCUGAUGAUAGUAGUACAC
rnacentral:lncRNA from 1 species